rnacentral:misc_RNA from 1 species
AAUUCUCAACUUCAUCAUUUUUUGUUGAAGCUUGGAUGUGGGGGUUGUGCAGAACACUUUGGUGGUCUGCUCCCCUUAAAUGAAUUAGCGAGUUCAAACUGAGCUCCGUCUAUUGGUGUGAUAAUUAUCUACGCUGUGGAUGGGACUUAGACUUGCUUCUAAACUGUCCGCAAGGACAAUUCUUGACA